UAUCUUAUAAUGUCAUUAAGAUGUAUAAGGUGAAAUAAUGGUUGCAACCAGGAGGAGUCACAGUUUGGACAAUAAUGUCGGUAGUAAAAGAAAAGGAAUUAUUCAUGGACGUCGAAGUAAUAUAAGGAAACAUCCCAAUUCCGCAAAUAAAUCUUUUCGAGCUACAAAACAGCAACGUGACUCGGAUUUUGAAUAUGAGGAUGAAAAAAUUCAAAUUCGUCAUUCGGCACGGUUACAAGGAGUUAAGAUACCUACAAGUGAACAGAGUAAAAUUUCAAGCAGGUGUCUUGAUGAAGAAUUUACGAAAGAGACAGGUAUCCGAAAGAGAAGCAAGACAAGAGCAUAUGGAAUUGAAGAACAACCUAUAAGACGGACCACUCGCCAUACUCGUUCUACGUUCACAUCUCUUAGUGAGGACUACAUUCGUAAUACUAUGGAUGCCGCUAGACAAUCAAUACAAUCUCAUAGAAGAAGAAACAUAGUUGAAUAUUCGCUUGAUGAAGAUAAUGAGGAAGAUAACAAUGGACAAGGCAACAUUACUGAUAACAAAUCAUUAAAUGCGAAGGCAGAGUUACGUGAUUUGUUGGCUGCUCAAGGAAAGAAGUUAUCUGAUAUAAAGGCUUCUGCUGAGCCCGAUAUUUACAGCAGUGUCAAAUCAAGAGUUCGUACAAGCACCAGGCAUGGACUAUAUGAAGAAUUUUAUACACCUGAAUCGAGCAGAAGAAAAAGAAAAGAUGAUGAUGAGCAGGAAGUAGAAGAAGAAGAGGAGGAAGGAAGCCAGAGUGAGGAAUCUGAGGAGGAGGAAGAAGGAGAGGGACAAGAAGAAGAGACAGAGGAAGAAGAAGAAGAAGAAGAAGAUGGGCAUCCAUACAGGCUGAGAAAAGUUCGGGAGGCUCCACAACGUUACACCAUAGUUCGUGAAGUCCAGCGAAGACGUCAGCGAUCACUUUUCGAGGAACUGCCUGGAUCUCCAGUUAGACGCAGACGAAAACGACAGCCCAGAGCUUCUCAUAUGUUUAGUAGAAGACGAAGAAAAGCUAGAGCUCAGGGAAACAGUAGCACGUCCUCAGACAGUGAUUGUUCUUCCUCUGAUGAAAUAAAAUUCAGGAAACGUCAGAAAAAGAGCAUGGCACGAGCACGAAAUCAAUGUCUACCCAUUAAUAUGACGUCUAAAGAUAUUAGAAAGCAUUCAUUUGCAAGAGAUAGAAAGAUGCUUAAUCAAUCCAUUGCUGAUAUUGAUCCUAUGACACUUGAUUCAUCUAUUACAUUUUCUUCUGUUGGCGGACAUACCAAGCACAUCAGAGCUCUUAAAGAAAUGGUUGUUUUUCCUCUCCUAUAUCCAGAAGUAUUUGAAAAAUUCAGUAUAACACCACCAAGAGGUUGUUUGUUUUAUGGACCACCUGGUACUGGUAAGACAUUGAUGGCCAGAGCUCUUGCUAAUGAGUGUUCAACUGAUGGUAAAAGGGUUUCAUUUUUCAUGAAGAAAGGUGCUGAUUGCCUGAGCAAAUGGAUUGGAGAAUCGGAAAGACAAUUAAGAGUUCUUUUUGAUCAGGCUUAUCAAAUGAGACCAUCAAUUAUAUUCUUCGAUGAGAUAGAUGGUUUAGCUCCUGUUCGAUCAAGCAGACAAGAUCAAAUACAUUCCUCUAUCGUUUCCACUUUACUUGCUCUUAUGGAUGGAUUGGAUAGUAGAGGAGAAAUAAUUGUUAUCGGGGCAACAAAUAGAAUUGAUUCGAUCGAUCCUGCAUUGCGAAGACCUGGUAGAUUUGACAGAGAGUUUUUAUUUCCUUUGCCUGAUAAAUCAGCACGAGAAGCAAUUUUACAAAUUCACACAAAAUCAUGGAAUCCCAGGUUGAAACAAUCAUUCAUUGACUAUCUCGCUACGAAAACCGUUGGAUACUGCGGGGCAGAUUUAAAAGCUUUAUGUACUGAGGCUGCUUUAUUUGCACUUCGACGCAGAUAUCCACAAAUUUAUGGUACAAGAGAGAAAUUACAACUGGAUAUAAGCAGCAUCAAAAUUCUUGCUGCGGAUUUUCAAGUCGCUGUGAAGAAUAUAAUUCCAACAGCUCAAAGAUCUGCAUCAAAUCCCAGUCGCGCAUUAUCAUCUACUGUCAAACCUCUUAUGAUUGAUUACCUACAAAAAGCAGUUCUUCAACUUGCAAAACUGUUUCCAGUGCUCAGAGGCAAGUCAAAGCUAAUUCAAAAGAUUCGUUCCAAAAUUGAAGGAAAUCAAUCUAAUGGAACGAAUCAUAUGAACGGAAACGAUCAUUCCAGCGAUGUUGAAAAUGAUGAUGAAAUAGGUGGAAUUAUGGGAGGAAUUUAUGAUGGAGAGCCAGAUAUGACGAACCAUUUUACUUCGAUAAUAUCAACUCUCGUAUCAGGAAGUAACAAUGGGAUUGUUGAAUCAAAAUACUCUCAUUUAUUACAACGUCUAUCUUCUAUGGAACACAGCCUGAACACUGUACAUCGGCCGAGAUUUCUCAUAUGUGGUGAUUCUUCAUCAGGACAUUCCAGUCAUCUCACACCAGCAUUAUUGCAUGAUAUGGAAGGAAUUCCUAUUCAUUGCAUCGACUUGCCGGCUUUAUAUGGAGUUAGUGUACGCUCUCCUGAAGAAUCUUGUGCACAGGUGUUUCGUGAAGCACGGCGUUUAACUCCAAGUGUAAUAUUUCUACCUAAUGCAUUGCAAUGGUGGAACGUAGCUUCACCUACUGUUCAAGCUACAUUGGAAUCACUAUUGCAUGACAUUCCUCCUCAUCUGCCUGUAUUAUUUUUAGCUACUUCAGAUUGUACAUAUCAUCAAUUACCCAGGGAUUUUGCAAAAAUUUUUCAUUCUGAUUUUUCUGAAGUUUGUGAAAUCAAGGUGAAUUUCAGUACUGAGAAGAGAAGAGAAUUCUUUGCUUCAAUAUUUCUUAUUCAUGCUAUGACACCGCCUCGCACAAGCAGAAGACGAGAUCAAUCCAGAGAACUUCUUCCUAAAGCCCCAGCACGUCAACCAGCUCCUCUCACUGAGGAAGAAGAAAAGAAAUUGGAAAAAGAGGAAGAAUCUACGUUCAGAAAUUUGAGAUUGUUUUUGAGAGAUGUUCUCAUGAGAUUGGGAGGAAACACUCGAUUCAAGAUCUUUGCAAAACCUGUGGAUUUUGAAGAAGUUCCUGAUUAUGUCGAAGUAAUAAAGAAACCCAUGGAUUUUUCUACAAUAUUCACAAAAAUUGAUCAACACAAAUAUCAGACUGUUGCUAUGUUUCUUGGAGAUAUCGAUCUCAUUUGUAACAAUGCACUCGAGUAUAAUCCUGAUAGACGUCCAGAAGAUAAACUGAUUCGACACAGAGCAUGUGCAAUGAGAGACAUGGCUUAUGCAAUAAUUGACUCCGAUCUUGAUCCUGAGUUCGAGAAACUUUGUUGCCAAAUCAUCAAAUCCAGAGAGCGGAGAGGUGUCAGCAUGAAUAAAUAUGCUCCCAAGUAUUACCCUGUGGUACCCAAACAUCUAAUGGUUCAUCCUGUUAGUGGAGAAAUUGUUCCGAAGCCUGUUGAAGAACAAACUAAUGCUCAAUCGAAUCCCCCCACUGCCAGCACUGAUGUUCAAGUAGAGAGAACUCCUUGGAAGCCUCCACCACGUAGAACAGCAAGUUCUACAAAACCAAAACGCAAGCAUUCAACUUGGGCAAGGGGGAUUGUGAAAAGCUCGAAAAAAAAGCGAAAAGAGAUCAAAAGUCUUCUGUCAAAUGAAGAGGACACAGAUAACGGUGGAGAGGAACAAAAUGGUGGAAAUGCAGAAUCACAUGACGAAAACGAAACAGAAGAUGAAAAAAUGGAACCCGAUGAAUCUAGCGAUGUAGAAUUGAAAGAGGAUGCACAAUCUGAUAAAGAAAAAUCGUCAUUGAAUGUCAGCUUUAAAGAGGUUGUGGAAAUGAAUAUCGAUGAUGAGCAAAAUCCAGAGAAUCUCUCGAAGAAGGAUGAACAAGAGGAUUCUGCUACUCAUAAAGAAAAUGAUUCUUCUCGAGUUGUAAAUGGAUUUGGAUUAGAUUACGAACUACAAGAUGAAAUGGAGAUGAUUCUUGAUGAUAAUAUGGAGGGAUUAAGUAUGAUUAAGAAUCGGAAAGAAGAUCUUGAAACAGUAGAAGAAAAAUCACAGGAAGAACAUACUGACAACGAUACAAAUGCACAAGAAAAUAAUUCGGAAAAAUUCAAUGGAGAUGCAAUAGAAAUUCUAGAUACAACAGAAAUUACUCCUUCACCACCAAGAAGAAUGACACUUCGAUCUAGAGAUCGCACUACCUCAGAAUCCAAUUCAAUGUAUCAGAAACAAGAGGAAGAACCAGAGCUUCCUCCACCUCCUUUUAUUGUGGAUCAUAAACGACUCAUGCAUUUGUUGGAAGAGGUUGUCACUGUUACUGACUCUCGAACAUUAGAAGAAUUGGAACGAAUACAUUCCACAUUGUCAAGAUGUGUUGACAAGCACAAACUGUCAUACAAUAGAAGAGAGAUGGUUGAAGAUUUGGAAAAAGAAAUCCAAAAUCUAUCUCAUUCAAGUGGAGAAAUGCUAUCUACAGAUUCUGAGUUUGUCUGAAAGAGAACGUAUUAGUAGAAUGACAAAUGUUUUUGUACGAAUGGAAAUUGUGGAUGCAGAUAUGGAGCGAUCGAUUCUUAAUGUUGUUUACACACUGUUAGUUUGUUCAGAUCAAAUAGACAAUUUUUUUGUAGUUUUGUAUUUUCGGUAGUACAUCCUGCUGCCUUAUCUUAUAUGCUUCAUUCCGUUAACUUACUUAUAGGCAAGAAAGGUACUGCAUUAGAAUUCUUAGAUGACCUCAACUUUUGCUAGCUGUUGUGUGUACAGAAAAAAAUUGCCUGUUAUUUAUCAUGACCUGUAUAACAGAUUUAUUCCUAAAAGUAAAGGCUUUACAUGUGGAACAACUCAAAUAAACUUUUGUUUUUUGCCAAAUUGCCAUGCUUGGUAUGUUUUCGGUUACAAAAUGAAACCGAUUGCUCUAUGAAUGUGGCCAUCUUAGACACCUCAAUUUUGCUUUUGGACGUUUCUCAAAUACUGUCGUUUAUGUUGAGAUAAUAUUAUAGUUUAGAACUGUUGUAGUUUUUGCUUGAUUUCAAUUUACAACCAAUCAUAUUUCCAAUUUUUACAAAAUUUGAUUGUUUGAAACCAGUGACUUGCAAUAUUUUAUUGUUGAUUUAUCUAUUCUGUGAAUUCUGAUAUCCUCAAAUGUUUGAUAGACAUAUAGCUUUGUUCACUAUCUCAUAGCUGAGUGGAUAGAUAUUUGCUGAAAAAUAACAUACUUGUGCUGUUUGUUUGUAGUCUUAAAACUAGUUUAUGUUCGUUAAUGAAAUGGUUCAUUUCAUUCAAGUUUUUCAUGUUCUUGACUUCGUAAGUAAAACUGAAAUACGAAAAAAUGAGGGUUUUCUGGCAUGGUAUGGAAUGGAAAUGAUAAAUGUGUGUAUGUAUGUAUGUUUAUUCGUCUCGUAAAGGCAAAAACACAGGAGUUAGUAAAUAUCAACAUUGAAGACGGGAUGUAUACACAAGACCAUACUGGCCUAAAACACAUGAACAUGCGGCAUACACCCCUUAUGAUAAGCAUAAAAUGCAAUAAAUCGAAUAAGUAUAAUAUGGUCCUUCAUACAGACAGCUGUGUGAGGAGGGUGGAUUAGGCAACAUGGGUAA